rnacentral:lncRNA from 1 species
ACCGCGGCGGGCACCCAGGGAGUUCGAGCAACGAAGUUGGUGACCUGCCCCGCUCCCAGGCAGUUUGCUGUUGGGGCUUUCACGGCUGCUGGAAGGGCAUGGCUGUUUGCCCCAUCACUGGGCGCCAGCUUCUCAAAGCUACGUUCGCAGCAACGCAGUAGGGACUUUCGUGGCAGGCUUUUUUUAAGAGCUGAAAGAAGGGCGGGAGGGUUUACGUCCUAGGGUGAUGAUUUCCUCACCAGACAGCGAAGUAUCUAUUGGGAAACUCCAGGUGACCGCACCUCCUUCCGACAGUUCGCCCCGGGGCAAGUUUACCAGCUGCGUCAGAAAGCAGGUUUGCAAAAUCCUUGGAGAACGGCCUGAGCUAAGGACUGGGGUCAGGAGGGUUUUAAACUCAUUCUGAUUUUCUUGCAAUCAUAUCUCUUGAAAGUUUUUAUAUUUUCCCCAAUAUUUUUCUGAGUUGCUAUAUCCAAUGAAAACAAUGCUGAUGUAGAGGUCCACCAGCCAAUGCUUUAUUGGAAGUCAACGAAUGAGACCGAGGGUGGCCCAUAAUCAAUCUCGGCACGCGGGAAUGUGAACCUCUUCCAAGGUCUGGGCGAGUCCCUAGAGUUACGCAGAUGAAGGACAUUGGCCCUCGAGAAUCUCACACCAGCAAAGAAGAGCACAACGAAGCGCAAACUACUUAUGAUCAUUGUGGCUUUGGGCAAGUUGUUGUAGCUCCCAGCAACAAUUUCUUCACCUGGAGUGCAGCAAUAAAUGAUACUGGUGCUGCAGGGCAGCUAAUAAGCUUCUGAAUAAUAUAUGCAAAGUACUUGGCACCAUGAGCAGAACUCAGUAUACCGUCACUGAAGAAAUAGCUUAUUUAAUGAUUACACUUUUCAUAUGUGCAAGUAAAAGUUUGACUUUUAGGGAGAGCCUCACCUACGGAAUGUCUUUUUUAAAUUUCUUUUUUAAUUAUACUUUAAGUUCUGGGAUACAUGUGCAGAACGUGCAGGUUUGUUACACAGGUAUACAUGUGCCAUGGUGGUUUGCAGCACCCAUCAACCCUUCAUCUAGGUUUUAAGCUCCGCAUGCAUUAGUUAUUUGUCCUAAUGCUCUCCCUCCCCUUGUCCCCCACCCCCCAACAGGCCUCAGGGUGUGAUGUUCCCCUCCCUGGGUCCAUAUGUUCUCAUUGUUCAACUCCCACUUAUGAUGAGAACAUGCAGUGUUUGGUUUUCUGUUCCUGUGUUAGUUUGCUGAGAAUGAUGGUUUCCAGCAUCAUCCACGUCCCUGCAAAGGACAUGAAUUCAUUCUUUUUUAUGGCUGCAUGGUAUUCCAUGGUGUAUAUGUGCCACAUUUUCUUCAUCCAGUCUAUCAUUGAUGGGCACUUGGGUUGGUUCCAAGUCUUUGUUAUUGUGAACAGUGCUGCAAUAAACAUACGUUUGUAUGUGUCUUUAUAGUAGAAUGAUUUAUAAUUCUUUGGGUAUAUACCCAGUAAUGGGAUUGCUGGGUCAAAUGGUAUUUCUAGUUCUAGAUCCCUGAGGAAUCGCCACACUGUCUUCCACAAUGGUUGAACUAACUUAUACUCCCACCAACAGUGUAAAAGCGUUCCCAUUUCUCCACAUUCUCUGCAGCGUCUGUUAUUUCCUGACUUUUUAAUGAUUGCCAUUCUAACUGGCGUGAGAUGGUAUCUCGUUGUGGUUUUGAUUUGCAUUUCUGUAAUGACUAGUGAUGAUGAGCUUUUUUUCAUAUGUUUGUUAGGAAUGCCGGGUUUUUUAGAGGAAUUCUUUUCCCUGUCCUGAGUUUUUGCCCUGCAGAAGCAUACAUACACUGAUCAAUCCAACAGUUAAACAGUUAAGUGCUCCAGCAAUGUUCUUUUCUCACCCACGUCAUCUCUUUCCUCCUCUUUUUUGGAUCAUCCCCAUAAACAUACAAUCAUUUUAUUUCCAUUACCUUGGAAUUUUUUUUUCUUUUCUUUUCUUUUUUUUUUUUUUGAGACAGGGCCUCACUUUGUCACCCAGGUUGGAGUGCAAUGGCACAGUCAUAGCUCACUGCAGCCUUAACCUCCUGGGCUCAAGUGAUCCUCCCACUUCAGCCUCCUGAAUAGCUGGGACCACAGGUGCAGACCACCAUGCCCAGCUAAUAUUGAAUUUUUUGCAGAGAUGGGGUUUCACCACAUUGCCCAGACUGUUCUUGAACUCCUGGGCUCAAGCGAUCUGUCUGCCUCCGCCACCCUAAGUGUUGGGAUGACAGGUGUGAGCCACUGUGCCCAGCCUCCUACUUCCCCUUUAUCACUCACUUAGCCCCUGCCACAGUGGCCUCGUAGACUAGAUUCCUAGGUAAAUCCGUUCUAUCUCAGGGCCUUUGUUCUAAUUGCCCUCUCUGCCUAUAAUUCCCUCCUCCCAAGUAUCUGCAUGGUUCACUCCCUCACUUCCUUCAAGACCCUGUUCAAUGUCACCGUGUUGCUCAGGCCUGCUCUGACCACUCUACUUAAAAGUUUAAAAUGUGUUUUCCAUACUACUUAAAUUUACUUUUUGACAAAGUCACCACAUUCUACUAUAUUGUAAAAUGUACUUUUUAAAUUAUGUUUAUUGUCUGUCUCUCCUCACUAGAAUGUAAGGCAGGCAGGCAGAGAGUUUUGCCUGUUCUCUCCAGUGCUAUAUCCCUAGUGUGCCUACAAGGAUACCGGACAUGUAAAUGGUGCUCAAGAAUAAAUGAUGGCUUUGACCCAAAGCACUGUGUUGCAAACAUUUCCUUGCCUCGAG